rnacentral:rRNA from 1 species
AUUGAACGCUGGCGGCAUGCCUUACACAUGCAAGUCGAACGGCAGCGGGGACUUCGGUCCGCCGGCGAGUGGCGAACGGGUGAGUAAUGUAUCGGAACGUACCUUUCAGUGGGGGAUAACGUAGCGAAAGUUACGCUAAUACCGCAUAUUCUCUGAGGAGGAAAGCAGGGGACCUUCGGGCCUUGUGCUGAUGGAGCGGCCGAUAUCAGAUUAGCUAGUUGGUGAGGUAAAGGCUCACCAAGGCGACGAUCUGUAGCGGGUCUGAGAGGAUGGUCCGCCGCACUUGGACUGGGACACGGGCCAGACUACUACGGGAGGGAGCAGUGGGGAAUUUUGGACUAUGGGCGCAAGCCUGAUCCGGCCAUGCCGCGUGAGUGAAGAAGGCCUUCGGGUUGUAAAGCUCUUUCGGACGGGAAGAAAUUGGUGGGGCUAAUAUCCCCAUCGGAUGACGGUACCGUAAUAAGAAGCACCGGCUAACUACGUGCCAGCCGCCGCGGUAAAAC